rnacentral:rRNA from 1 species
UACGUAGGGGGCUAGCGUUGUCCGGAAUCAUUGGGCGUAAAGCGCGUGUAGGCGGCCCGGUAAGUCCGCUGUGAAAGUCGGGGGCUCAACCCUCGAAAGCCGGUGGAUACUGUCGGGCUCGAGUGCGGAAGAGGCGAGUGGAAUUCCUGGUGUAGCGGUGAAAUGCGCAGAUAUCAGGAGGAACACCAGUGGCGAAGGCGGCUCACUGGACCGGAACUGACGCUGAGGCGCGAAAGCGUGGGGAGCAAACGGG